rnacentral:rRNA from 1 species
UACGGGGGGAGCAAGCGUUGUUCGGAUUUACUGGGCGUAAAGGGCGCGUAGGCGGCCAGCACAAGUCAGUUGUGAAAUCUCCGAGCUUAACUCGGAAAGGUCAACUGAUACUGUGCGGCUAGAGUGCGGAAGGGGCAACUGGAAUUCUUGGUGUAGCGGUGAAAUGCGUAGAUAUCAAGAGGAACACCUGCGGCGAAGGCGGGUUGCUGGGCCGACACUGACGCUGAGGCGCGAAAGCCAGGGUAGCGAACGGG